rnacentral:hammerhead_ribozyme from 1 species
AUCCAGCUGACUAAUCCUAAAUAGGAUGAAACUCGGAUCCUGGAU